rnacentral:rRNA from 1 species
AUUGAACGCUGGCGGCAGGCCUAACACAUGCAAGUCGAGCGGAUGAGGGGAGCUUGCUCCCUGAUUUAGCGGCGGACGGGUGAGUAAUGCCUAGGAAUCUGCCUGGUAGUGGGGGAUAACGUUCCGAAAGGAACGCUAAUACCGCCUACGUCCUACGGGAGAAAGCAGGGGACCUUCGGGCCUUGCGCUAUCAGAUGAGCCUAGGUCGGAUUAGCUAGUUGGUGAGGUAAUGGCUCACCAAGGCGACGAUCCGUAACUGGUCUGAGAGGAUGAUCAGUCACACUGGAACUGAGACACGGUCCAGACUCCUACGGGAGGCAGCAGUGGGGAAUAUUGGACAAUGGGCGAAAGCCUGAUCCAGCCAUGCCGCGUGUGUUAAGAAGGUCUUCGGAGUGUAAAGCACUUUAAGUUGGGAGGAAGGGCUGCUGGUUAAUACCCUGCAGUUUUGACGUUACCAACAGAAUAAGCACCGGCUAACUUCGUG